GGUAAAGCUAUGAAGAGAUAAGUAAGCAAAUGUGAAGUUUUACAGAGAGCGCUUGUUGGUGAAAAGGCGUAAAUGAAUCUUUGCCGAAUAAAGACUCGGAGCAUUAUGCAGGAUGGAAUUACGGAUUGCAUAACGUAAUCGCACGUUACAGCGAAAGAGUAUGAUGGUACUUUAUGAGGUUUUUGUCGUGAGGCAAAAAUGAAAUUGGGUGGUAACACGUAAGUUAAGCUUUCGUCCCAUAU
rnacentral:ncRNA from 1 species